GAGGUAGCGGGGGCGCGAGGCGUUUACCUGGGAGGCAGCGGCUGGGGCGCGCACAGCGGCUGCGGCUCCCCCGCACCUGCGGCCAUGGAUGAAGAGCGCGCCCUCUACAUCGUCCGGGCCGGCGAGGCGGGGGCUAUCGAGCGGGUCCUGAGGGAUUACAGCGACAAGCAUAGGGCUACUUUCAAAUUUGAAUCAGCAGAUGAAGAUAAAAGAAAGAAACUCUGUGAAGGCAUAUUUAAGGUCCUUGUCAAGGAGGUCCCAACGACAUGCCAAGUGUCCUGCCUGGAAGUACUCCGCAUUCUCUCCAGAGACAAAAAGAUCUUAGUUCCUGUAACAACUAAGGAAAAUAUGCAAAUACUGCUGAGACUAGCCAAGCUCCACGAGUCGGACGAUUCUUUGGAGAAGGUGUCAGAGUUCCCAGUUAUUGUGGAAUCAUUGAAGUGUCUGUGUAACAUCGUGUUCAACAGUCAGAUGGCACAGCAGCUUAGCCUGGAACUGAAUCUCGCUGCAAAGCUCUGUAACCUCCUAAGAAAGUGCAAGGACCGAAAAUUUAUCAAUGACAUAAAGUGCUUUGACUUGCGCUUGCUCUUCGUCUUGUCACUUUUGCACACUGACAUCAGGUCACAAUUGCGCUAUGAGCUCCAGGGACUCCCGCUGCUAACCCAGAUCUUGGAAAGUGCCUUUAGCAUCAAGUGGACCGAUGAGUAUGAGUCGGCCAUAGACCAUAAUGGACCUCCUCUCUCACCUCAGGAGACAGACUGUGCCAUUGAGGCCCUCAAAGCUCUGUUCAAUGUGACGGUAGACAGUUGGAAGGUGCAUAAAGAGAGCGAUUCUCAUCAGUUCCGUGUCAUGGCAGCUGUCCUUCGCCAUUGUUUACUAAUUGUAGGUCCAACUGAAGACAAAACCGAAGAGCUGCACAGUAAUGCCGUCAACCUUUUAAGCAAUGUUCCAGUCUCUUGUUUGGAUGUUCUCAUUUGUCCAUUAACCCAUGAAGAAACAGCCCAAGAGGCAGCAACUCUAGAUGAACUGCCCAGUGAUAAAACAACGGAGAAAGACACAGCUUUGAAAAACAGUACCAUGGUAUACAAUGGCAUGAAUAUGGAGGCCAUUCACGUUUUACUCAAUUUUAUGGAGAAGAGAAUUGAUAAGGGAAGCAGCUAUAGAGAGGGUCUAACUCCAGUUCUCAGCUUAUUAACAGAAUGUUCCCGAGCCCAUCGGAACAUCCGAAAAUUUCUCAAAGAUCAGGUUUUACCGCCUUUGAGGGAUGUGACAAAUCGACCAGAAGUCGGCUCAACCGUGAGAAAUAAGCUGGUGCGUCUCAUGACACAUGUUGACCUCGGAGUCAAGCAGAUUGCUGCUGAGUUCCUUUUUGUCCUUUGCAAAGAGAGAGUGGAUAGCCUGCUGAAAUACACUGGCUAUGGAAACGCUGCAGGACUCUUGGCGGCCAGGGGCCUCUUGGCUGGAGGAAGAGGAGAUAAUUGGUACUCAGAGGACGAGGACACGGACACUGAAGAAUACAAAAACGCAAAACCAAACAUUAAUCUUAUCACUGGUCAUUUAGAGGAACCAAUGCCAAACCCUAUAGAUGAAAUGACAGAAGAACAAAAAGAAUAUGAAGCCAUGAAACUUGUCAACAUGCUUGAUAAACUUUCCAGGAGAGCAGAUGUGAAGGACCUGCACCAGGAUGGUGGUUAGCAACAGUGGCCCGUGCCAAAGCACUUACCAAAGUGAUGACUAAGACCCUGUCAUUAAUUCCAUGUGUCAAUACUGCCCUGUAGUACACAGAGCAGACAAGAAAGAAGAGCCCUUGAAAACAAGGGAAUGAUUUUUGAGUCGUUAUCAAGCUAAGUGGCAAGCGGGAAGCUGAAACUCGUAUAGUUGAACAUUCUUGGAGGCUUAUCUCUUCCCUGGCCAGAUGCCUGAUCAGAUGAGAAGCCCGCCAUGAUACUGUCACAGUGCCUAGAAUGGGCUCUUUAUCCAGUAGACAUCACUGUACUUUUUGGUGAUAACGGGGGCAGUCUUAACUGUGUUAAGGCCUGUAUAUAGCAUUGAAGAGAGGAGUUGCUUAAACCAAUGGGACUAAAACCUGACGGGACAAUAACGCCUUUGGAGGAAGCACUCAGCCAGUAUUCUGUCAUCGAAGAGACCAGCUCGGACACAGACUGAAAGCAUCGUCACCUGCUCCACUCUCAAUAUGGCUUUUAUCAGCAUCUUUUCUCUGUAGCUCCAGGGGAAUCUUUUUCUCUAAAACGUUUAUGCCCUCGCUUUGGCUAGAAACACAUUAACUGGUUUACUCAUUGGGAAUCCAGCAUAUUUAAGAGGUAAUCCUGUGUUUUCUGCAACAUUGAGGCAUUCAUACAGAGCUGCAGUUAGGCAGAGUUGCGAGGCUAGAAGCAGAAGCAGACAUCCCAUUGCACCAGGACAGAGUACGGGACUUCACUCGGCAAGCAGCCCCGGUCAAAUCUGGCAGUCUUGUUGCCGAUAAUCCUAGCCGAAGAUUCAGCGUGUCCUUCCACCCACCCAUGUAAACUGCCCCUUCUGAGUCUCUCCAGCAACCUGGGGCCCAUGAGGGCCCAAGGAGCUGAUAAAUAAGGGCUGAGGCAAGUGACUCCUUAGAUCAGCACUGACUGAACGAAAGCCAGGCAGCUGCUCUGUAAGCCUAGCCCUACCCUUCAUUUCAGUUUUAUACAAAUGUGGAAACACACACACGCGCACACAUACACACACACACACAGCCCCAGACUUACAAACCUAUUACACUCUAAAAGUUUGUCAUUUAGCUAAAACUUGAGAUUACAUUUCUUCCUGGAAGGAGUUAGAAGUAACGGUUUAGUUCAGGCAGCUACACGUGCCUAUUUAUCCCUCGUUCCUGAACACUACUAGUACCGUAGGGCUGGAUCUGUACCGUUGCGUCCACAGUGUGCAUUCUGAGGUAUCACUCAGGGUGCCAAGUACACACUCAUCCUCCAGGCAACAGAGAGGAUGGGGCUCCCCGAGUAGUGGGAGUUCUUUUGUGGCCUGUGCUGGGGGUAGGGAGCCAACAGCACCCAUUUGUACAUAAAGGUCAUUCGUAUGUCACAUGUUUUAAACUGGGGUCUCUGUGUGUAUUUGUGUGUGUGUUCUACCUUUCUACCAUAUGUGAUCAGUUUAAUGGUAACUUUAUUUAUUUAAAAACAAAGAAACACAAAUAGUUACUAUUAAACUGAUUAAGGCUGUUUAUUUUUACUCCUAGAAAUGGUCAUAUGAAGUAGAUGUGCAAUCAUGUAGACAGCAGGCCAAGGUGAUCAGUGGCUAAAGUUGAAAAGGGGUUGGUUUCUUUCAUAUAUGUAUGUGUGUGUAGAUGCACAUACAUAGAUAUAUGCACACAUAGAUUAUGUGCUUGACCACUGCCUUUUAAAACUUUAAAUUAAAUAAAACAUUGGGGAUGAUUCAAUUUAGCCAUCUGUGUGUGUGUUUCUUUAUGGAUACGUGGGCUAAGGAGACUAUUGCACAGUUUAUGUUUUAAAGUCUCUCUCCGCCUGCUCCCUCACCUGUCAUUGUGCAGCCUCUUUCCAGGACAGAGUGUCCAUAGAUAGCAUUGGUGAGAAUGUGUUUAGCCUCAAUGGUCCCUGGCCUUUGAGCUGCCAGAGAGAUGCCAGGAAGUUCUUAAAAUUUACUCUGAAGGAAACCCUUAAAGAGUAGUCACCAUCACUAAGAUUUAUGUUCACUUCAAACAUGUUUGGACACUUGGACUUUGAGCCCCCACCCCACACAAAGGCAGAGAAGGUGAGUGUAUUUAAAGCAGGCACCCUGAAAACAGUAGAAGGCAUCAGCCGGGAAUGGGGAGCCUUCAGUGCCCAGAUUCAAAUGGGGGGUCAGUGUACACACCAAGGUGAGCAAGAAGAAACACCAUCCAAGGCUCAGCAAGUAGUGUGUGUGACAGCGUGGCCAGAGACAUGCUUUCCUUAUAGUGGCCCUGAGCGGCUCUAAAAGAAUCAAUCAAGAGACUCGUAAGACAACUCGGGAGUGUCCGGACAUUAAGGACUCUCCUCCGUAACCAUUGUUUUAGCCAAUGGCACCACCCAAUAAGAUUUUCGUUUUAUUCUGCUGUUCAUAAUUUUAGUUAAGUGAAAAAAAAAUCCAGAGGAGAAGGAACUUAGUUAUUUUGUUGCUUCAUUCAACAAGUUCAUUUCGAAAGUAUUUUUAUAAUCUCUAGUCAGAUAGCUUUUCCAUGAGCAUCAGCCUAUGAAAGCAUGCUGUGCCCGGUGAAAUGCCACCUUGCCGCCUCUGCGCAAGUGCUUGCACAGUGCUGUAGCUGUGCUCCGAUGCUUUCAACAAGUUCCUUUCACCACGCAUCUCUUGCAUCUAGGCACUUAAUUUGUUUUUUUAAGGAUUAAUUCUUUAAAAGAUGGAGUAGCUUCACCUUGCACACAGAGAGCUCUGAGCAUCGAGCUUCAUGUCUUCUUUGUAACCUCACCCCAUCUACAAGAGCCUUUCCAGAGAGCUGCUUAACUUCCUAGACCCUCAGCAAGCCAGGGUCCAGCUGUGGCCUUGACACCUGCACCUUCCCUGUUGCAUGCAGGACCACUAGCCAGAGGCUUUAAGACAGCAGACAGGCUGCGGAAGGUGGUCCUUCUCAGACCAUUUUAAACAAUAACUAUUUGAGCAGCAGUCUCUGGUGUUCCCAUCAGGGAGGUACCUGCAUGAGAGGGAGAAGCUUGGUCAGUUAGCAGAUUUUAGGUGAAGACCUGGACGCCCUUAGGUCAGAGAGCAACAGUGUGGGUCGGUCCUCCAGUGAGAGGGGUCAGCCAGUGACCACGGCCAUUUACAGCCCUUUACAUACACUGAACUUGGGAAUGCACGCCCUAAAGCAAGGCAUUGGAACUCCUUAGAGGAACAGUUUCCAGAUGUCUGUGGCCGAUUCGCAUAUCCAGUGGCUUUUAGUGGCAGUCAGGGCAAAUGCUGUCCUUUCUCUAUAAAUGACACAGGCUGAAUGAAGCUUUGCAAAUGACUGGACAGUGCCCUGGCACAUGAGUCUUGCUGCCCCCAGGACUAGGUAUCAAUCUACUUCAGCUUUCUUUGGCCCUACCUUGUCUAUCAGAGUCAUACAUGCUUCUUGUAGAAUGUUUAGAAAGUGCGGAAACAAUAAAACUAGCUAUUGACCCAGAGCCUUCCCACCCCUGAGAGCAUCACUGUUCAUGUUUGGUGUAUUCCUUUCCUAUAUUUUUUCUAUGCAUAUAUAAUUUAUUUUACUACAAGAUUGGGAUCAUGCUGUGUUUACAGAUUUGUACCCUGCUUUCCUUAACAUUGUGAGCAUUUUCCCAUACCAAUAAAUAUUCUUCAAAUGUU